rnacentral:rRNA from 1 species
UACGUAGGUGGCGAGCGUUAUCCGGAAUGAUUGGGCGUAAAGGGUGCGCAGGCGGUCCUGCAAGUCUGGAGUGAAACGUAUGAGCUCAACUCAUGCAUGGCUCUGGAAACUGGAGGACUGGAGAGCAGGAGAGGGCGGUGGAACUCCAUGUGUAGCGGUAAAAUGCGUAGAUAUAUGGAAGAACACCAGUGGCGAAGGCAGCCUGCCGGCCCCACACUGACGCUGAGGCACGAAAGCGUGGGUAUCGAACAGG